rnacentral:rRNA from 1 species
UAGGGAAUCUUCGGCAAUGGACGAAAGUCUGACCGAGCAACGCCGCGUGAGUGAAGAAGGUUUUCGGAUCGUAAAACUCUGUUGUUAGAGAAGAACAAGGACGUUAGUAACUGAACGUCCCCUGACGGUAUCUAACCAGAAAGCCACGGCUAACUACGUGCCAGCAGCCGCGGUAAUACGUAGGUGGCAAGCGUUGUCCGGAUUUAUUGGGCGUAAAGCGAGCGCAGGCGGUUUCUUAAGUCUGAUGUGAAAGCCCCCGGCUCAACCGGGGAGGGUCAUUGGAAACUGGGGGACUUGAGUGCAGAAGAGGAGAGUGGAAUUCCAUGUGUAGCGGUGAAAUGCGUAAAUAUAUGGAGGAACACCAGUGGCGAAGGCGGCUCUCUGGUCUGUAACUGACGCUGAGGCUCGAAAGCGUGGGGAGCAAACAGG